AGGGAUUGCCUCAGUAACGGCGAGUGAAGCGGCAAGAGCUCAAAUUUGAAAUCUGGCCUCUUUGGGGUCCGAGUUGUAAUUUGUAGAGGAUGUUUCGGGUACCGCCUCGGUCUAAAUUUCUUGGAACAGAAUGUCAAAGAGGGUGAGAAUCCCGUCUUGGACCGGCGGUAGGGCCCAUGUGAAACUCCUUCGACGAGUCGAGUUGUUUGGGAAUGCAGCUCAAAAUGGGUGGUAAAUUUCAUCUAAAGCUAAAUAUUGGCCAGAGACCGAUAGCGCACAAGUAGAGUGAUCGAAAGAUGAAAAGCACUUUGAAAAGAGAGUUAAACAGUAUGUGAAAUUGUUGAAAGGGAAGCGCUUGCAACCAGACUUGAGCGCGGCGGUUCCCCCUUCCUUUUGGUUGGGUUACUCCGCCGUGUCCAGGCCAACAUCGGUUCUGGGGGUCGGUUAAAGGCUCGAGGAAUGUAUCUACUCCUUCGGGGGUAGACUUAUAGCCUCGGGUGUCAUGCGACCUCCCGGGACCGAGGAACGCGCUUCGGCUCGGAUGUUGGCGUAAUGGUUGUCAGCGACCCGUCUUGAAACACGGACCAAGGAGUCUAACAUCUAUGCGAGUGUUUGGGUGUCAAACCCGGAACGCGGAAUGAAAGUGAACGGAGGUAGGAAGCCGCAAGGCUGCACUAUCGACCGAUCCUGAUGUCUUCGGAUGGAUUUGAGUAAGAGCAUAGCUGUUGGGACCCGAAAGAUGGUGAACUAUGCCUGAAUAGGGUGAAGCCAGAGGAAACUCUGGUGGAGGCUCGCAGCGGUUCUGACGUGCAAAUCGAUCGUCAAAUUUGGGUAUAGGGGCGAAAGACUAAUCGAACCAU
rnacentral:rRNA from 1 species